rnacentral:rRNA from 1 species
GUGCCGCCGCCGCGGUAAUACGUAGGGUGCAAGCGUUAAUCGGAAUUACUGGGCGUAAAGCGUGCGCAGGCGGUUUUGUAAGUCUGUCGUGAAAGCCCCGGGCUCAACCUGGGAAUUGCGAUGGAGACUGCAAGGCUUGAAUCUGGCAGAGGGGGGUAGAAUUCCACGUGUAGCAGUGAAAUGCGUAGAGAUGUGGAGGAACACCGAUGGCGAAGGCAGCCCCCUGGGUCAAGAUUGACGCUCAUGCACGAAAGCGUGGGGAGCAAACAGGAUUAGAUA